rnacentral:misc_RNA from 1 species
AACGCAUCUUGCACUUCUCAGGUCCCCUGAGAAGUAUACUUGUUUGAGUAUCAUAAACACUAAUCUAAAGUGAAAAUUUAUUUUUACCUUGGGAAUUGAGGCAUCAGAUAUCUUGCAUAUCCGUGUCUUUUAAUGUAUAUGUGAAACGGCGAUUUUCUCAUCUUCGGAUUAGAAAGAGACCUUAACAAUCAAAUGUGAGAUAACUAUCGCACAAAGUAGUUUUUAAGGAGCCGACUUGUUCACUACGCCUUGACGCAAUGUUCUUUAUUGCUCCCUUUGAACAUUGAUCUCAAAUCAAGUAAGACUACCCGCUGAACUUAA